ensembl:lncRNA
ACCCACGCAACACACAGUGGUAGAUCACUGAGGGGGUGGAGUCUUCACUGGCUGAUACCAUCACACCACACAUCUAGAGAGGUGGAGGGGGGGCGGAGCCAGAGAGAGAUGGAGGGGGGCGGAGCCAGAGAAUGGUGGAUUAGUACUACAGUACUAACCUGUAUAACCCCAGCAGUACUAACCUGUAUAACCCCAGCAGUACUACAGUACUAACCUGUAUAACCCCAGCAGUACUAACCUGUAUAACCCCAGCAGUACUAACCUGUAUAACCCCAGCAGUACUACAGUACUAACCUGUAUAACCCCA